UUGAGAGCCCUGCAGAUGUGAGCUGAAUGUCUGAAAUCUGUCCGAUUGAUCGAAGGUUCUGAUGACCCGAUGGUAUUCUCUGAAGGAUUUCGGGAUUUUUCCUUUUUUAUCAUUCGGUGUCGAAGGAUAAUUAGUGAACUGAUGUAAUAUUAUAUUAUCUUCUGCUUCUCUGGAGUCAUGACACCACGGAUUUAUUAUGAGGUCUGUGCUAUAUUUGUCAGAUAUGUUCUAUUUUUAAUAACCCAAAACAAUUAACACUUUCAUGACGUCAUACAGAUUCUAUAAUAAUCUCUAUUAGAGAGUGUUUGUUCUGUUCAAAAUAGCUUCGGGGAUUUCCUUGGCAACAGUUGUUAUGUUUAGAUGGGCGUGUUCCAAAACAGCAAGCGGAAGUAGUGACACCGGUCACGUGUGUUUCCGUAUUAACAGACACGGGACAAUCUCCAUCUACAUGACUUAAAGGAGAAUAUUCAAUCAAAUAUUGAGAAAAGACAAAGAAAAUGGAACUCUUUAUUUUGUAUUAUGUUUUAGUUGAACACUUCCGCCUGUACUUUAUGUGGACAUUGUGGUUUUAUUAUGUUUUUAUUUUAUUUAUCACUUUUUUCAUUUAAUGAGAGAAGAGAGCAUCUGUUCAGCUGGGAAUACUACAGUGUUUGUAUUCAUUAAUACACAGUUUUAGGUUGUUCCAAACAGAACAAACAGCAGAUCUUCUGGAUGUGGACUGCCUCAGAUCCUUCUCUGUGGGCACAAACAUCACCUCCAGGAUCCUUGUUCUUCUCUAGACUGAAGAUGCUUCUUAAUGACAUGUGCUGUAUGUUUGGGCCGUAUUACAGCAUUUCUCAGCACUGACGACACCAUAAAUCCAGACCAGAUCUCCAACUCCAUCUGCAGACCUACAAGGAAACUUCUCUGUUGCAACUUUAAAUAAAAUAUAUUGCAACAAAGACUGUCAGGUCAGGAUCUUCUACCUGGGUCUGCUGCUAAGAAGAAACAUCAACAUGGAGGGUUCGAGGGGAAAAAUCAGCAAACAUCAUCAUCAUCACACAAACAACAAACAACAAAAGCUUCUAGAAAUCAUUUAUGUUAAUUAUCUAUUUUAAUUGGCUUCAUACAAAAUCAAAUGAAAGUCUUUUGCCAACUGUUUAAUCAGCUGCCAUCACGACCCUGCAGCUGCCGCAGAAUGUCAUCUUCAUGAUCAUUUUUAUCUCACUGCUAGUUUAUUGUUUUCAUUCCUUCAUAUUGUUGUAACCCUGUAUUCAUGCAGGAUCACUUUAGUUUUACAAAACACUUUUGUUUUACAGAUUUACAUGGCUGUGAUUAAUGCAUAAUUAUAAUGAAUAUCCACCCCAUUAGAUGGGUGACAUUUCA